rnacentral:rRNA from 1 species
CCGAAGAGUUUGAUUCUGGCUCAGAAUGAACGCUAGCGGCACACUUAACACAUGCAAGUCGAAUGCUUUAAUUGAAAGUUUCCAUUUCAAAAGAAGCAUGGCGAACGGGUGCGUAAUACGUGAGAACCUACCUUUUAAGCAGGGAUAAUUAUACAUGCAUCAUCAGAUGUGUGGAAUCUGUUAAUUUUAAUUAACAGAGUAAAAAUACCUGAUAUAACUUACCUCUCAUGGUAAGAAAAAGAUUACUAUUCAAUUAGAAGAAAUUUAUAAAUAAUAUUUAAAUUUACUUAGUAACAUCUUGUUAACUAUCCAGAUGAUUCUUUUUAAGAAUCAUUAGAUGAAGUGAAAUAAAUAUUAUCUUUUAAAUUUUAAUCCUUUAAAGAUGGUCUCACGGAGGACUAUGGUAGUUGGUAGGGUAAUAGCUUACCAAGCCUACAAUCCUUAGCUGAUCUGAAAGGAUGAUCAGCCACACUGGAACUGAGACACGGUCCAGACUUCUACGGAAGGCAGCAGUGAGGAAUCUUGGACAAUGGGCGAAAGCCUGAUCCAGUGAUGUCGCGUGAGUGAUGAAGGCGCUUUUGUUGUAAAACUCUUUUGUCGGGGAAAAUAAUGAUGGUACCCGGAGAAUAAGUCCUGGCUAAUUCCGUGCCAGCAGCCGCGGUAAUACGGGAAGGACUAGUGUUAUUCCUAUUAAUUUGGCGUAAAGGGUGUGUAGGCUGUUAAUUAAGUUAAUGGUGAAAUCCCCAAGAUAACUUGGGAAGAGCUAUUAAAACUGGUUAACUAGAGUACAAGAGAGGUUGGUAGAAUUUCUAGUGUAAGGAUAAAAUCUGAAGAUAUUAGAAGGAAUCUCAAAAGCGAAAGCAACCAACCGGAUUGUAACUGACGCUGAGACACGAAAGUGUGGGGAGCAAACAGGAUUAGAUACCCUGGUAGUCCACACUGUAAACGAUGAAUAUUAAAUGUUGGGGUAUAGAUCAAUAAUAUUUCGAUGUUCUGUUUUCAGAACAUCAUAUUGUUUAACAAUCAUUUGUUAUCAUAACAAUAUCAUUAUUGUAUCUAUCUCUCAGUGUUGUAGCUAACGCGUUAAAUAUUCCGCCUGGGAAGUAGGAUCGCAAGAUUGAAACUCAAAGAAAUUGGCGGGAGCUUGAACAAGCGGCGGAGCAUGUGGUUUAAUUCGAAACAACGCGCAAAACCUUACCAAUUCUUGACUCUCUAACUAGAAAUCUUAAUUCAUGUUUUGCUUUAAGUCGGUUAGAAACAGGUGUUGCAUGGCUGUCGUCAGCUCGUGUUGUGAAAUGUAGCGUUAAGUCGUAUCUAACGAGCGCAACCCUCAUCAUUUGUUUCCUAUUUGUUAUUUAACAAUGUAAGAUUGUUUAUGACAAAGGACUCUAAUGAAACUGCCAGUGAUAAAUUGGAGGAAGGAGAGGAUGACGUCAAGUCCUCAUGACCCUAAUGAAUUGGGCUACACAUGUGCUACAAUGGUGAAUACAAAAGGAAGCAAUAGUGAAAACUGGAGCAAAUCCUCAAAAUUCAUCUCAGUUCAGAUUGUUCUCUGCAACUCGAGAACAUGAAGUCGGAGUCGCUAGUAAUCGUAGAUCAGCACGCUACGGUGAAUACGUUCUCAAGCUUUGUACACACUGCCCGUCAUACCCUGAAAACAGGUUCUAUCUGAAGUUG